GGCUUCGUAGCUCAGCCGGUAGAGCGCCUGCCGCGUUGAGGCCUGGUGUUUCUGUCGCUGGUCCCAAUCCAGCGGAAGCCC
rnacentral:tRNA from 1 species